rnacentral:rRNA from 1 species
UGAGGGAUAUUGGGCAAUGGGGGCAACCCUGACCCAGCGACGCCGCGUGGAGGACGACGGGCUUCGGCCUGUAAACUCCUUUUCCCAGGGACGAGACAAGGACGGUACCUGGGGAAUAAGUCUCGGCUAACUACGUGCCAGCAGCCGCGGUAAAACGUAGGAGGCAAGCGUUAUCCGGAAUUACUGGGCGUAAAGGGCGUCUAGGCGGUCGGUCAAGCACGAUGUGAAAGCGCCUGGCUUAACUGGGCGAGUGCGUUGUGAACUGGCGGACUAGAGGGCAGGCGACGGCGGUGGAAUUCCCGGUGGAGUGGUGAAAUGCGUAGAUAUCGGGAGGAACACCAGUGGCGAAGGCGGCCGCCGAGCCUGUUUCUGACGCUGAAGCGCGACAGCGUGGGGAGCAAACGGGAUUAGAUACCCCGGUAGUCCACGCCGUAAACGAUGGUGACUAGGUGUGGCGGGUCUAACGACCUGUCGUGCCGUAGCUAACGCGCUAAGUCACCCGCCUGGGGAGUACGGCCGCAAGG